UAGUUUGUCGUUUGUGUCUAGUUUUUGUCGUUUUGUGUCUAGUUUGUCGUUUUGUGUCUAGUUUGUCGUUUGUGUCUAGUUUUUGUCGUUUUGUGUCUAGUUUGUCGUUUUGUGUCUAUUUUGUCGUUUGUGUCUAGUUUUUGUCGUUUUGUGUCUCGUUUGUCAUUUUGUGUCUAGUUUGUCGUUUGUGUCUAGUUUUUGUCGUUUUGUGUCUCGUUUUUGUCUUUUGUGUCUAGUUUUUGUCGUUUUGUGUCUAGUUUGUCAUUUUGUGUCUAGUUUGUCUUUUGUGUCUAGUUUUUGUCGUUUUGUGUCUAGUUUUUGUCGUUUUGUGUCUAGUUUUUGUGGUUUGUGUCUAGUUUGUCGUUU